rnacentral:lncRNA from 1 species
UUUAACACUUCAAAGGGUUCUUUCUAUUCUGAUCUGUUGGGUUUCUUUGUGUUGUUUAACCUUAGUGUCCUGACUCUACCUUUCCCUUUUUUCUCCCUUUCCUCAAAUUUUCCACUAUUUGCACACAGAUCUCUUCACACUGGGAACUGCUGACUGAGAUGCCUGUGCUCCACAGCCAAUAGGAGAGGGACUGACUCCGUGGACUGCUGUCUCCUCUGUCUCAACGUGUGCUUGCAUUUUACGUGCUGGCUUGGGUUAGGAAUUACUUUCCAGCUUCUAUGGGAACAGUUGUCAAGGAAACCUGUACAGUAUGGCUCUUGUGUGGUUCACCCGCCUGGUCGCAGACUGCAGCAUGGCUUCAUGGUACCAGUCAGAGACUCAAUGAAGAGGCUCUUCACACCUCAGUCAGGGAGACCACACCGUCUUCACAUGGUUUCCCCAGAACCUAAAACUCAGAGAGAAAAUAGAAGGGUGGGAACUGCAAGAUAGACCCCCAAGUUGUGAAUGAUACGGAUAAGUAGCCUAAGGCUUGCUUCCUCAGAAACACAGAUCAGGGGCUGGGAAGUGCCUCUUCUCAGGUCAAGGCCUUCCUGAGAACUUCAGAAUUCUGUGAGACAGUCACCAUCAAGAUAUGACUGGCUGCCCUUCCACACAUGGGGCCAGAGACACUGUGGUGGGCAAGAGGAAGAAAGAAGGCUGAAUUCAGGCUGCAGCAGAGCCACGUUGCUUCCCUGCCAGGUUUGCUGUGUUCACAGGUGCCUGAGACCAGAGCUUCCUUCCUCUUGCUUCUGAUGUUGCAAAUUUACAAGUCAGGAAUAUUCCCACGGGUAGGGGUGGGGUGGG